UAUUUAAAAGAAAAAACUACUUUUAUCUCUCUUUUAAUUAUUGUUUGAUUCCUUUGUAACACUUUUAACUUUGGUAAGAAAAGUACUGUACAUAUUAUAUUGAAAUUAUAAAUUAUAUUUUUGUGGUAAUAAUGCAGAGUUUUCACUUGAAUUUAGAGCAUGUAAUUGUUUUUUAAGAAAUAUUUUUACAUGUUAAAGUGAUUAUGUUCUGAAAAUAACUAAUAUCAGUUUUUCUGUUUUCCAUUACAGCCCCUAAACCAUGGCGCCGUAUCAUUAUCACCAUUGUCUCUGUCACUGUGGUUUUGGUGAUAAUUGCCAUAGCAGCUUUUGUUCAACAUCGAAAAAAAGGAAAAUAUGAAAGUGUGGACAUGAAAAAAACAGUGUACACAAAUGUUCAGUUCAAAAUCGUGAACACCACUUCUGGAUCAGAAUCCAACCGAUGAUGCUGCAGCUCCUUCUCCGUCCUCCAUUUACAGCGUGAUCGAAGCAGGUCCAUGAAAUCCACUGAGGCCGGAGACACGACUCAGCCUGAGAGCCUGUAUGCUCAGGUGGACAAGUCGGCCCUGGCCUGAAGAAAAUCUGAAAUUGUCUUCCACAUUCUGCCUUUUGGACAAUUUCCAGUAUUAUUGUUGCCGUGAGUCAUGUUAUAUAUUUUCUGGGAAGUUUUUU